rnacentral:rRNA from 1 species
GACGAACGCUGGCGGCGUGCCUAAUACAUGCAAGUAGAACGCUGAAGGAGGAGCUUGCUUCUCUGGAUGAGUUGCGAACGGGUGAGUAACGCGUAGGUAACCUGCCUGGUAGCGGGGGAUAACUUUUGGAAACGAUAGCUAAUACCGCAUAAUAGCAGUUGUUGCAUGACAACUGUUUGAAAGGUGCAAUUGCACCACUACCAGAUGGACCUGCGUUGUAUUAGCUAGUAGGUGUGGUAACGGCUCACCAAGGCGACGAUACAUAGCCGACCUGAGAGGGUGAUCGGCCACACUGGGACGGAGACACGGCCCAGACGCCUACGGGAGGCAGCAGUAGGGAAUCUUCGGCAAUGGGCGGAAGUCUGACCGAGCAACGCCGCGUGAGGGAAGAAGGUUGUCGGAUCGGAAAGCUCGGUUGUAAGGGAAGAACGAGUGUGAGAGUGGAAAGUACACACUGUGACGGUAUCUUACCAGAAAGGGACGGCUAACUACGUG